CGUACACUCCUACGGGAGGCAGCAGUGGGGAAUAUUGGACAAUGGGGGCAACCCUGAUCCAGCCAUGCCGCGUGAGUGAUGAAGGCCCUAGGGUUGUAAAGCUCUUUUGUGCGGGAAGAUAAUGACGGUACCGCAAGAAUAAGCCCCGGCUAACUUCGUGCCAGCAGCCGCGGUAAUACGAAGGGGGCUAGCGUUGCUCGGAAUCACUGGGCGUAAAGGGUGCGUAGGCGGGUCUUUAAGUCAGGGGUGAAAUCCUGGAGCUCAACUCCAGAACUGCCUUUGAUACUGAGGAUCUUGAGUCCGGAAGAGGUGAGUGGAACUGCGAGUGUAGAGGUGAAAUUCGUAGAUAUUCGCAAGAACACCAGUGGCGAAGGCGGCUCACUGAUCCGGUACUGACGCUGAGGCACGAAAGCGUGGGGAGCAAACAGGAUUAGAAACCCCUGUAGUCCC
rnacentral:rRNA from 1 species